UCCAGCUGAUAGGAUGCCUGUAUCCUUCU
rnacentral:piRNA from 1 species